UUCGUCCUCAAAUCGAAUAUUCUUCCUUUUUUUUUUACACAAGCAAUGGGAGGAUGGGUACUGUACACUAAUGAAUAGGCUCAAAUGGGCCUGUGAAAUCGAGCGCAACCUUCCUGCAGGAAUCUCUUACCUCUGAUUGGUUGGUGGGUGUCUCCUGUUUGAAAAAAACAAAAAUGCAGCACGAGCGCACCUAACAUAGGUUCUGCUACUUCGUCUGUCAAAGAGGCUAACUAGUCUUUAUCAGAAAAUCCAUGACUUCCAGCUGUGUUAUAACAUGCUCAGGCUGCGGGAAGACCUUAUUAACGCACGGAGAUGGCGAGCGGCCAUCUGGAAGCCCAGACAGUCUCCUGCUCAUCGUCGCUACGCUGUACAGGCCUGCUUGGGCCUUAACCAAGAACCCUGUUAAUGCGAGCUGAACCCACUGAACAGACGUUCCAACAGAGAGGAGCAGAGCUUUACGUUACAAGCGACGCGGGAGGGUUUCCCACGGUAACCGAAAUGAACAAAGCUCCAUCUUACCUCUAAUCUUAUCUUAAGAAGAGAGAGAAGACGUCAGAGUAGAAGCGCGGCAAUCUCUCCAUCCAUCUCCUGUGGACACUAAGCUGCCGGUCUUCCAGCUCUAUCAUUUAACAAGAACAGAUACCCCACCCAUCAUGUUGGAGACAGGAGGAGCGCUCAACAGAGAUCAGUAAACCCUCAAAAGAACCCGAUGAUCACCGUUGACCUGUUCAAACGGAGAACAUCCAUCCCUCAAGGCUGCUAGACUCACGUUGUUCGCUGAACUGAACUCUUAGGCCCAAUCCCAUUUCUACCCCUUACCCCUUACCC
ensembl:lncRNA